ensembl:lncRNA
CCGGGCAGCUGCUGCCUCCCCAGCCCGUCCCCGAGCCUCUCCGGACUUGCGUGGCAUGUUGCAAGCGCAACCUUGGCAGCACCUGCGCUUUCGAUCUUUAAUACAAGUCUGAAAUGUGAUCAGCUUUGUCUUUCUCUCUCUCUCUCUCUUUUUUUUUUUUUUUUUGCUUUACAGACCUAACGAUGCCCAGAAAUGAGCUUGGCACCUUCCUGGCAGUGAGCAAGACUCCUAAAGCUAUUUGAAUGCCUAAAGAUUUUUUUGGAAAACUCUGGGAGGUGUCUGACUCCCCCAGGUGUCUGUGGCAGUUAAGAUCUGCUAAUAUAGUUUGUUUUUUGAGGGUCCUCCUCCUUGCCCCUAAACAUCACACAGAGUUCUUGUUCUGCAGUUCCUGUUCAUACUGGUGUUGAUUUCCCUAAGCAAAGAAAAUAACAUGUUGCUGUUGAGAACUUCUUGCUUCCUCUGUGUUGGAGAUCCUGCUUUCCUAGUAAUUUCUUUUGAGUAUAGAGUGUCUUCAUGAUGUUCUCUUUCUCUCUCUCUUUCUCUCUCUCAUUUUACACAAACUGCACCAAGUAAAAUUCCAUUAUAGGAGUACUUCAAAUACCGUUUGCUUGGUCUCCCAUCCCUUUAGAAGAGAACUGGAUGCAACUCUGCUAGCCUUGCUGUUGUGCAACAGUCUGUGAGUUUUCUGUGUAUUUAAAUGGUUCUUGUAUUUGAUUUCUAGAAAGAAAAUAUAAGAAAUCAAAGCUAAAGACAUCUUAAGGGGGUGGAUGAAUACAGAUUUUGUUAACAUUCUGAUUACAAGAAGAUAAUUUAGUUAAGCUUCCUUAUUUGUAAACGUGUACGUAAAAGUUGGUAUAUUAUAGGCAAAACUAGCUGGUUUUGAAUGCCUAUAUACUAUAUUGUAUGCAAAUAGUAUUGCAGCGUUAAGUUUGAUGGGUCCUUAUUUACCCUCAAGAGAUGAACUGUAAGAAGUCAGAUUUGUCCAUGGAAAGUGAGCUGGAAUUAUGCAGGGGAGUGGAAUGAAUAACCUUCAGAAAAACAUUUACCUCUUUGGCACUGAAAAAUCAUAACUGGAUUUGUGUUCUAAUUCUUGCUGUUUGACUUUCAUAUUCUCUAGUUUUCAUCUAGCUGUUUGCUGAAGGACUAAUUUCUUUUUUCUUCGAAGCAGUUGAGUGGAUUGUCAAGUUGACCU